rnacentral:rRNA from 1 species
GACGAACGCUGGCGGCGUGCUUAACACAUGCAAGUCGAACGGUGACGGAGAGCUUGCUCUCCUGAUCAGUGGCGAACGGGUGAGUAACACGUGGGCAACCUGCCCCAGACUUCGGGAUAACGCUUCGAAAGAGGUGCUAAUACCGGAUACGAACUCCUUGGGCAUCCUUGGAGUUGGAAAGUUUUUCGGUCUGGGAUGGGCCCGCGGCCUAUCAGCUUGUUGGUGAGGUAACGGCUCACCAAGGCGACGACGGGUAGCCGGCCUGAGAGGGCGACCGGACAAACUGGGACUGAGACACGGCCCAGACUCCUACGGGAGGCAGCAGUGGGGAAGAUUGCGCAAUGGGCGAAAGCCUGACGCAGCAACGCCGCGUGAGGGAUGACGGCCUUCGGGUUGUAAACCUCUUUCAGCAGGGAAGAAGCGAAAGUGACGGUACCUGCAGAAGAAGCACCGGCUAACUACGUGCCAGCAGCCGCCGUAACAC